rnacentral:rRNA from 2 species
GAUGAACGCUGGCGGCGUGCUUAACACAUGCAAGUCGAACGGUGAAGCAGAGCUUGCUCUGUGGAUCAGUGGCGAACGGGUGAGUAACACGUGAGCAACCUGCCCUGGACUCUGGGAUAAGCGCUGGAAACGGCGUCUAAUACUGGAUACGAGACGUGGCCGCAUGGUCAACGUUUGGAAAGAUUUUUUGGUUCAGGAUGGGCUCGCGGCCUAUCAGCUUGUUGGUGAGGUAAUGGCUCACCAAGGCGUCGACGGGUAGCCGGCCUGAGAGGGUGACCGGCCACACUGGGACUGAGACACGGCCCAGACUCCUACGGGAGGCAGCAGUGGGGAAUAUUGCACAAUGGGCGAAAGCCUGAUGCAGCAACGCCGCGUGAGGGAUGACGGCCUUCGGGUUGUAAACCUCUUUUAGCAAGGAAGAAGCGAAAGUGACGGUACUUGCAGAAAAAGCGCCGGCUAACUACGUGCCAGCAGCCGCGGUAAUACGUAGGGCGCAAGCGUUAUCCGGAAUUAUUGGGCGUAAAGAGCUCGUAGGCGGUUUGUCGCGUCUGCUGUGAAAACUGGAGGCUCAACCUCCAGCCUGCAGUGGGUACGGGCAGACUAGAGUGCGGUAGGGGAGAUUGGAAUUCCUGGUGUAGCGGUGGAAUGCGCAGAUAUCAGGAGGAACACCGAUGGCGAAGGCAGAUCUCUGGGCCGUAACUGACGCUGAGGAGCGAAAGGGUGGGGAGCAAACAGGCUUAGAUACCCUGGUAGUCCACCCCGUAAACGUUGGGAACUAGUUGUGGGGACCAUUCCACGGUUUCCGUGACGCAGCUAACGCAUUAAGUUCCCCGCCUGGGGAGUACGGCCGCAAGGCUAAAACUCAAAGGAAUUGACGGGGACCCGCACAAGCGGCGGAGCAUGCGGAUUAAUUCGAUGCAACGCGAAGAACCUUACCAAGGCUUGACAUAUACGAGAACGCUGCAGAAAUGUAGAACUCUUUGGACACUCGUAUACAGGUGGUGCAUGGUUGUCGUCAGCUCGUGUCGUGAGAUGUUGGGUUAAGUCCCGCAACGAGCGCAACCCUCGUUCUAUGUUGCCAGCACGUAAUGGUGGGAACU